rnacentral:rRNA from 1 species
CCUACGGGAGGCAGCAGUGGGGGAUAUUGCACAAUGGGGGAAACCCUGAUGCAGCGACGCCGCGUGUGGGAAGACGGUCCUCUGGAUUGUAAACCACUGUCCCCAGGGACGAAGAUGACGGUACCUGGGGAGGAUGCUCCGGCUAACUGCGUGCCAGCAGCCGCGGUAAUACGUAGGGAGCGAGCGUUGUCCGGAAUUACGGGGUGUAAGGGGAGCGUAGGCGGGACUGCAAGUUGGGUGUCAAAUCUACCGGCUCAACCGGUAGCCGCACUCAAAACUGCAGUUCUUGAGUGAAGUAGAGGCAGGCGGAAUUCCUAGUGUAGCGGUGAAAUGCGUAGAUAUUAGGAGGAACACCAGUGGCGAAGGCGGCCUGCUGGGCUUUUACUGACGCUGAGGCUCGAAAGUGUGGGGAGCAAACAGGAUUAGAUACCCGGGUAGUC